rnacentral:lncRNA from 1 species
GAGAAAGAACACCAGAUGAUAGAACUAUACAUACAGUAUCCAUCCCGGGUCAGACAACUCAGAAUAUUCACACAAAAAGAACACGUGAGAGCUAUAAACAAACAGAACAUGUUCCCCUGUUUCCACUUCUUGCAUAACCUUAACCUGUAGCUUACUCGUAAACAACCAUCUCUGCACAAACACAUAGCACCUUCAGCUCAAAUCACAAAAGCUUCUUUGAUUGCCAAAAUCUCUGCCAUUUAUUAGCAUCCAGUUGAUCGCAAAAAGACAGUCUUUAUGUUGCCAUGUCCAUCUCCUAAAAUGCCUCUUGUACCGGUAUCACCGGGACAUCCCCUCGCUGUUGUUUUUGUUCUCUUUUGUUUCCUGUGAGUUUGGUGUUUGGUCCCUUGUUCUGGGACUCUCUGUUUCAAAGGUUCAGUGUUUACAGACCCUUCUUGUACCUUCUUUUGAUAUGUUUUUUCCUCUACUUGAGGCCUAAGCAGUAACUAGGAGUUUUGUUCCUUGUAAGUUCGAAUGAAGAUAACACCUUAUUGUCGAUGCCUUAUCAAGUAC